AUAUAUAAAUAUAUAUAUAUAUCUAUCUAUCUCUUAAAAUAUUAAAUAAGCCAUUACUCGAUAGUCAAUAGUAAUUAGUAAGAAUCCAAAAGAGAGAUGGGACUUCAAUGGCUCUAUCAUCCUCCUACUCUCACUCUCGCUCUACCUUUUCCUUUGCCGGGAUUUGGAGUCCAUUUGAGCUUACCAGCUAUGGUGUCCCGCUACAAUCACCAUCAUCAGCAUCCGAUUAAAAUGAUUAUGACUGCUUAGAAGUCACUUUGGAGCAUUUAUUACCUGUCGGAGGGAAAAAAAAAAGAGAGCGAAAAAAGAAAAUACCUUUCUGGUUGUGAUUCAACGUAAGUUUGGUGUCUUUGUUCUCGCCCUAUCUACUAUUCUCAGCAAACUUUUGCUGCCCCCAAGCUCUGAUAAUUGGGUAACUCCUACCUGUCAGAAGGCAGAGUCAGAUGGGCAAACCUUGACGUUGUUUAAGAAGGAAGAAGGGGAAAAAAAGGAAAAAGAAAGAGAUGCAAAGAUACAUGCCAACCUGAUUUGACACAAAAGUCAGUAUUCAACUAAAUGGCAAUUAACUUGGGGCUGUUUUAGUGUCUUAUGGAAUUUGAGCAGCUUCAAAGAACAUUGCAUGCCAUCGAUUGUCUUCCUUGCUCAAUAUAAUGGUAAAAACUUGAUUAAUAAGUUUUAGAAUGCGAGUUUGAGUAUCAAAAGUCACUUUGUACAUAAUAAUGUCAAAUAUUGCUUUUGCCUUUACUUUUUCCUUUACUACACCGCGCUGUCCAUGGGUGAUAUCAACACUAGGUAAUGGUUUUUCACUUUUUUGUAAUAUAAAAUGAUGUUAAUAGGAUUAUUGAAGAAAAUUACAUAUAAUGAGUUUUAGACCUUCUUGAAACGGUAUUUUUUUCUGAUCCUGUUUAAUGCUUCUUAUAUAUUUAUAUAAUAUACUCUCUCUGUCCCAUUUAACAUGUCGGCUUUGUGAGUCACGGUUCCCGAAGCCGACAUUUAAAAUGAGACAGAGGUAGUAUAUAUGUAUAUAUUUAUUGGACAGGCGGACGUCAUUUACUGCUCCAAUGGGAUGUUUGAUAAGCGUUGAAGAUCGAGGCUCAAGCUAAACAAGCAUAGUACCAAAUCGAGCCUUGUAUUUGGAAUCGGAUGAAAUGGUCAUAAUCAAGUUCAGGUAACAUACCCUACUCAAACUUUUUUCUUUUUCUUUUUUUUUUUUUCAAUUACUUUUAUUAGUCCGUACACUUUCCAUCCACUUGCCUUGAGACAGGACUACAACCUUUGAACUUUAGUUGAGACAAAUUAACGUUGGUGGUUGACAACCAAAGCUGGACAACGUUAUAGAAAGUCUGCAACUACUUUUCUGAACCAUUAAAUUCUAGGAAUAGGAUAAUGGAACCCUAAAUCAUGGUCAUAUUUCAAUCCCUUUACCACAUUUUUCUAUGAUUUAAGAUACAAUGCAUUGUGAAUCACAUGCAAGUCUUUGGCUAUAUCACUUGGAACACCUAAUUUUCUUCUUCAUCUAGAAACAAAAUCAUGUGACUAUCUAACCCCUCCAUCUUUCAUUCACCAGCAGACUUUCAAUCAAUCCAAACAGGUCCACUAAGCCUAAGUAUGUCAUGGUCAAUCACCAUUUUGAAUUGACAAGAUUAAAAUUUUAGAUUAUAGUUCAAGAGUUUAUUGUAUCUAAUUAUAUAGUUUUGGAAGAAGAGGAACGCAUGACUGAUUAUGUUGUGUUUGGGAGCACUGAAUCGGUGUUAUGGAUUUGAGAUCAAAGAAAAUGUAGUACAAAUUUUGAACUAAAUUUCUUCCAAUCCCAAAUUCAAGCCAUCGAUUCGGUGCUCCCAAACGGUAAUGUUUUUGUUGUGUUGUGAUUUUAUUACCAAAUGGAAACAUGUUCGGUAACCAAUUUCGUUGCAUAAUGUUUCAAAGCAAAAAAAAUUGAAAAAUAAAAUGUUAAAAAAAGGUAUUUACAUUUUAAAAAAUAAAAUUUCAUUACAAUUGUUGAGUUACAAUAACAAAAACAAGGGAAGACAUUUUGUUGCUUCCAAAUUUGCACCUUCUUUUGCGGUUUGUGCAAAACAUAACAGAAGUUACUAAAACAUGCAUGAAACAAAAGCAAUUGACAAACAAGCCCCUAGAAUUUAAAGACUAUAUUAUACACAAUACUAAAAAUUACACUUGUAUUUAUUCUUCUUGAUUAACAAAAAUCCCACUAACUAAUGAACAUUUGUAGAUGAAUGCAUGAGUUUGAUGAAUCUAAUUUUUUUUUUUGUUUGUUUUUGUUUUCGGCCCUAUCCCAAGUUUUGUAAAAAUAAUGUUGAAAACAUAAUUGAAAGUUCUAAUCUUUGAAAAGAGUUUUUGAGAUAAUCUUUGAGAACGACUGCAUUGAAUUGACCAAAUUAAAAUUUUAGAUUAUAGUUCAAGAGUUUAUUGUAUCUAAUUAUAUAGUUUUAUAACCAACGGGUCAGUGCUUAGCGGUAUCAGACCUUUACUUUUUUUCUUAAUUGGAAAUCACACAUUUAUGCCUCCACCGGGGCUUGAAUCCUUAACCUCCCUUUGAAAAAUAGGGGCUUGAUACCGCUGGCCCCUGACCUGUUGGUAUUAGGCUCUUGUUUCCGAAAGGGAGGUUGAGGGUUCAAGCCUCAGUGGAGGCAUGUGUGUUUACCAACAAAGGAAAAAAAAAAUUAUAUAGUUUUGUAAGAAGAGUAACGCAUGAGUCAUGACUGAUUAUGUCGUAUUUGAGAGCACUGAAUCGGUGAUAUGGAUUUGAGAUAAGAGGAAAUGUAGUACAAACUUUGAACUAAAUUUUUUUCAAUCCCAAAUUCAAGCCAUCCAUUUGGUGCUCCAAAACAUAACAAUAAUGUUUUUGUUGUGUUGUGAAUUAUUACCAAAUAGAAACAUUUUUGGUAACCAAUUUCGUUGCACAAAGUUUCAAAGCAAAAAAAUUGAAAAAUAAAAUGUUGGGUGAGUGUAAAAAAAAAAAAAAAGUAAAAAGAAAAAAAGGUAUUUACAUUUUAAAAUAAAUUUUCAUUACAAUUGUUGAGUUACAAUAACAAAAACAAGUGAAGACAUUUUGUUGCUUCCAAAUUUGCACCUUGUUUUGCGGUUUGUGCAAAAUAUAACAAAAGUUACUAAAAACAUGCAUGAAACAAAAGUAAUUGACAAACAAGCCCUUACAAUUUAAAGACUAAAUUAUACACAAUACUAAAAAAAUUACAUGUGUAUUUAUUUAAUCUUCUUGAUUAACAACAAUCCCACUAACUAAUGAACAUUUGUUGAUUAAUGCAUGAGUUUGUUGUACCUAAUUUUUUUUUUUUUUGGCCCCAUACCAAGUUUUGUAAAAAUAAUGUUGAAAAGAUAGUUGAAAGUUCUAAUCUUUGAAAAGAGGUCUUAUGAUAAUCUUUGAGAACGACUACAUUGAUUUGUCAUGUUGAUUCACAUCAAGUCGGUAGAAAAUCCUAUCAAAUUUUCCCAUGUACUUUUUCCUAGUGUUUUCAAAUGUGUCAUUAUGUUAAAUUUACACCGAUGAAUCUCUAGGUUUAGUCAAAUUACAUUUACUUCCUUGAGAUUUGUACGUAAAUAACACAUAGUUCUUAUUUUUUAACAAUAAAAUAUAAUAUUUAUAAAGACGUCAAAUUACAUUUACUUCCUUGAGAUUUGUAUGUAAAUAACACAUAGUUGUCACUUUUUAACAAUAAAAUAUAAUAUUUAUAAGGACGUAAUUACAAAUCCGACGAGUCUGGCAAGGGAGGUCGGUGUAAUUUGACAAACAAAAAGAAAAGUUCGUAUAUAUUGAUAAAACUUUAGAAAAGAGUGUAAUUUAUACUUUAUUUUAUUUUGUAGAUUUUAACAUUUAUUCAUUUUUUUAUCCACACCAUAUAAUUUGAGAUGAAACUGAAUCACUGUACUUAAGGAUCUGUUUGGGAAGUGUUAUAAUAUUGUAUUUUUGAUAUUUGUAUUCAAAUUUGGGUUCACAUCAUAUUAUGGGACGGCUGAUAUUUUGAUAUCGAUAACAGAUCAUGAUAUAAUUUAUUCAACAAAAAGAGAUAUCAUGAUAAUAGAUCUGGAUGUAGUUAUUUUGUCGAUGAUAUAUGAACAUCG